GAUGAAGAACGCAGCAAAAUGCGAUAAGUAAUGUGAAUUGCAGAAUUCAGUGAAUCAUCGAAUCUUUGAACGCACAUUGCGCCCGCCAGUAUUCUGGCGGGCAUGCCUGUUCGAGCGUCAUUUCAACCCUCAAGCACAGCUUGGUGUUGGGACUCGCGUUAAUUCGCGUUCCCCAAAUUGAUUGGCGGUCACGUCGAGCUUCCAUAGCGUAGUAGUAAAACCCUCGUUACUGGUAAUCGUCGCGGCCACGCCGUUAAGCCCCAACUUCUGAAUGUUGACCUCGGAUCAGGUAGGAAUACCCGCUGAACUUAAGCAUAUCAAUAAGCGGAGGA
rnacentral:misc_RNA from 1 species